rnacentral:rRNA from 1 species
CCCUUAGAUGUUCUGGGCCGCACGCGCGCUACACUGAUGCAUUCAACGAGCCUAUCCUUGACCGACAGGUCCGGGUAAUCUUUGAAUCUGCAUCGUGACGGGGAUAGAUUAUUGCAAUUAUUAAUCUUCAACGAGGAAUGCCUAGUAGGCGCAAGUCAUCAGCUUGCGUUGAUUACGUCCCUGCCCUUUGUACACACCGCCCGUCGCUACUACCGAUUGAAUGGUUUAGUGAGAUCUUCGGAUUGGCGCCACUGCGGCUCAGCAAUGGGCUCGGUGGAUGCCGAAAAGUUGAUCAAACUUGAUCAUUUAGAGGAAGUAAAAGUCGUAACA